rfam:Schistosoma haematobium scaffold1515_13, whole genome shotgun sequence.
AUCUUGCUGACGAGUCCCAAAUAGUACGAAACAUAAGUUCAAGGU